AGGACAGUUUACCACUUCACUUAUAAGAACUGUAUGGUCAGAGCUGUGGGAGCCUUAAUGUUAAUCAGUGUGAAGAAAAAUGAUGGACGUGCAAGUUCUGCGUCAACUACUAGAUGUACGCAGAUUACGAGUCGAGCGCCCUAACCAUCUGGCCCUGCCGGGCAUUUUACCAAGUAAUCUAAAAAGUAACCGCCAAACGAUAGAACAUGUUACAACAGUAUUAAACAUAUCAAUCUAUAAGAAGCAAAGCGUUUGAAAAAAUUAUCGUUUUUCUGUUUGUCUAAAAAUGACAAAAACAAAUGCAUACAACGGAGAAAUACUACGUAAUAUUGUUGUGUACUGACUGGCCUAGACAGACAAUACCACUUUGUGUUUGGUUCUACAAUGUCCAGCUGCUGGAGGUAAACUGCAUGUAUAUAAAUACCACAACACAUCCUUUCCCCCCUAGACAGCAGUUAUGAGUUUACUUAGCUACCCAGUAACUCGUUGUCGUCGCUGAUGAGCGAACAGAAACAAACCAGGCGUUGCUGAUAUAAUAUGUUACUCUUCAGCGGUUGACAUUUCCACGAGUUUUACAAGCGCGGUGGUGUCUAUCAUUGUGAUUUUUUAUGGUACCAAGAAGACGGGUGUGCAUUGACUUCGAGGCUUCUAACACAUCUAUGUGUAAUUAAAUGAACUUCCUUGGAAGAAAUUUUACGUAUAGCUACAUCUCUUACGUAUAUGUCGAAAGUUUAGUACGAAGCAUUUUUUACUAUCGGUAUCACAGAACCAAACGGACUAAGUACUACUAUAAAAUAUUUGUAAGCAAUAAGUCGAUCAAGUGAUUAAAACACGCACUUGUACUAUACCAGAGGAUGAAAUCUGCAUAGAAAAAAAGGAAAAAACUUCAAAAAAACGUUGGAAUUGAAAAGUUCUACUUCCCUGAGUAAUGAGUUUUAUUUCUUAACCGACUUCUCAUGGAAACCGGGGAACCAACUGAUUACAAAGGGAAUUGUACAGAAAUGGUAGAUUCCACACCUCAAGCAAAUGUUCAAGCUCUUAGGGCAUUGUUUGCCCAAAGAAAUGACCCUGUAAUGGGAGUGAUGCAAGUAGGCUCACGAUUAACUUCUAUCCGGAAUUCUUCAUAUGAAAAAAAUACUGAAGAGAAAAUUACCAAGCCAUCAGUUAAUGAAAAUUCCAGUAUGAAACCUAAUGUUGGUUAUCCUAUGGGAAAGUCUGUAUCCACUAGUUCCAUACUUAUUGCAAAGUCAAAUUUGUUUACUAAAACAAAUACACUACCAGUUCAACAAAGUUCAGCAUCUGUAGUAUCCAAUGGCUCAACCUCAGAGUCUAGUCCUGUGGGUUCUAGCAAACCUAAGCCAAUUCUGGGACCAAAGCCAACAAUUGCUGUCAAGCCUGUGAAAUCAUUUUCAUCAUCCUCAGUUGGGAACAGUAGUUCUGGUAAGGCUACUAACAGUAUGUGUAUAUCAAGAAGUAGUAGCUCGUUAAACAGUCAGUCAACAGACAGCAUUGCUUCGGGUAAUGCAGAAGAGGUGGAUGAACAGAAAAACUGUAAUAAUGUUUCUGAAACUAUUACUCAAUCUAAUCUUCAGUCUGAUAAUCCACCUGUUGUAUCAUUUACAGUGAAGUUACCUUAUGAAAAUAAUACAGAUGGUAUUAAACAAAGUGGAAACAACUCAAAUGCAUCACCUAAGAGUGUUCUUAAACAUUUUGACUCUUCUAGUGUAAUUAAUUCAGAAAACUAUAUAUGUAAAGCAAACUUACGUUAUCGAAAGAAACUUUUACCUCCAGUAGAAAAACUAGGAAAUCCUCCAUUGAAAGCACCAAAAGCCUUUCAGUGUUGUUCUUCCCACUCCAGAUAUGUCCACAUUUAGAAAUAAAGGAACUGCACCCCCUCUUCCAUCAAGGACAGUUCCAUCAUCUGUGCAAAAUAGUGUACCAGAACUUCCUCAGCGACCAAAAAGACUUCCCCCUCGUCCUCCAAUAUUAGAAUCAAAUCAUCCUGUUACAUCACAGCCAUAUCCUGUUCCUGCAGUAAGGAGAAAAAAACUGCCAAUGCUGCCAGACAGUGAAUCUCACUCUGCAGAAGAGGAGUUGUAUGAAGACACCAUUGUAAAUGAAAAUUCAGAACCAGUGAUUCCAGAAUAUACAGAAGAACAAGAAGCUGAAGAUGAGUUGUAUGAUGAUACAGACAUGCAACCCCCUCCACUUCCUAGCCAACCACCACCUUCUAGGCCAAGAUAUGCACCACCACCACCACCUCCUUCAGGCAGUAUUGGCCUUGAUAACACCUUGGGAGAGGAACUCUACCAGGAUGCUAUGGAUCAGAAUCCAGUUGAAGAAGAUCUUUAUGAAGAGAUGCCUGCUGAUACAAUUUCAAAUGAUGAAGCAAAUGGGCCUAUGUACAGUAACCGAAAAGAAGAACUGCGAUUUAAGAAAGAAGAAGAGAAACAACGGAGAAAAGAACAGAAGGAAAAGGAAAAGAAAGACAGAGAGCUUGAAAAACUUAGGAAAAAAUAUUUGAUAACAGGUGACGAAUUACCAGUGGAUACUGGGGUGGUCAAGUGUGACAGUCGAGGAGGACGGUUAGACUUAACAGUUAAAAAAGGUGAAGUCCUGGAAAUAUUGCGCAUGGAAAACAAUCCCUCAGGAAAAUGGCUUGUACGAAAUGACCGAGCAAAAAUUGGGUAUGUGGAACUGACAAACAUUCAAGUUGAUGCCAACUCAAUAAAAUCUGAUUCUCUCCCAUCGAGAACAAAGACGUCAACUGUCCACCCUCUGGUUGAUCUUGCCAGUGAGAGAGCCCAAACAUGGUUGGCUAAGUUAACUGCCUGUGUGAGGUAAUGGUGACAAGAGCGUCCAUGCAGAAUUUGGCUGAAGAAUUGUAUAAUGAUGCUGAAACAGAAGAAGCAUUAUAUGAAGAAACCUUUUGAA